rnacentral:rRNA from 1 species
GACGAACGCUGGCGGCGUGCCUAAUACAUGCAAGUAGAACGCUGAAGGAGGAGCUUGCUCUUCUGGAUGAGUUGCGAACGGGUGAGUAACGCGUAGGUAACCUGCCUGGUAGCGGGGGAUAACUAUUGGAAACGAUAGCUAAUACCGCAUAACAGUAGAUGUUGCAUGACAUUUGCUUAAAAGGUGCAAUUGCACCACUACCAGAUGGACCUGCGUUGUAUUAGCUAGUUGGUGGGGUAACGGCUCACCAAGGCGACGAUACAUAGCCGACCUGAGAGGGGGAUCGGCCACACUGGGACUGAGACCAGGCCCAGACUCCUACGGGAGGCAGCAGUAGGGAAUCUUCGGCAAUGGACGGAAGUCUGACCGAGCAACGCCGCGUGAGUGAAGAAGGUUUUCGGAUCGUAAAGCUCUGUUGUAAGAGAAGAACGAGUGUGAGAGUGGAAAGUUCACACUGUGACGGUAUCUUACCAGAAAGGGACGGCUAACUACGUG